CCCGACCGUUGCUGCUACCUUGACGUGGUGGUCGGACUUGCCUAUCGUGAUGAACCAAUCGAGCUAUACUGGCUGAAACAAUCGUUCCUCAAGGUCGAUUAGAGAACGGUAAGACUAAAAGCAGC
rnacentral:ribozyme from 1 species